rnacentral:rRNA from 1 species
GACGAACCGUGCGAACGUUAUUCGGAAUCACUGGGCUUAAAGGGCGCGUAGGCGGGCGGACAAGUCGGGGGUGAAAUCGUUCGGCCCAACCGGACAAGGGCCCCCGAUACUGGCCGUCUGGAGGGAGGUAGGGGUCGAUGGAACUUCCGGUGGAGCGGUGAAAUGCGUAGAUAUCAGGAGGAACACCGGUGGCGAAGGCGGUUCUCUGGGCAUGUCCUGACGCUGAGGAGCGAAAGUGUGGGGAGCGAACAGG